UAGGGGAUGAUAGAUCAAUAAUAACCGUUGGAUUAAGUGGUGGUAUAUAAGCAAACAUUAUAGGGCUAGGGUUUCUAUUCUAAAUUUCGUUUCUUUUUUCUUUCCGUCUCUCCUCUGUCUCUGAGAAGGAGAAUAAGUGAAGAACUCUGUUGGAACUUGGAUUACUCCUCUGUCUCGUUGAUUGAUAUGAGUUUAUGUCUCAGUUCUUACUAAGAGGGUAAGACAAAGGGAAAAGAAAGGAACUGAACUGGAUUAAGUAUCAAUCAGAUUAUCUAAGGGAGUGGAGAAAGAGAAGGAAAAGGUGCUGAAGUGCAGAUUUAAGUUCUUGGAGUUCACUAAUUCAGUAAUUCUAGAGGGUUGCUGAUACUGCACAUUCAAGGUUUGUCAUUUGGUAUUUGUGCAUUCAAGGGAUAUGUAAAUGUGAAUGUGUGGUGGCUGAAUUACAAGAUUCAAGUUGCUAAUUAGGUUCCCUUCGUGGAUAGGAAUUUAUCUAUGAGAUUAGGAUAGAGCUGGUAACACUUGUUGAUAUUCUAGAAAUGGUCUAUGUUGUCCAUAUGUAAUUUAUCUAUGAGAUUAGGAUAGAGUCUUAAGUCCUUGUAGAAGCUCUUUAUCUACAAGGACAGUUGAGCAUUGCU